AGCGAACGCUGGCGGCGUGCCUAACACAUGCAAGUCGAACGUGAAAGGGAGCAAUCCCAAGUAAAGUGGCGUACGGGUGAGUAACACGUAGGUAAUCUACCCCAGAAUCUGGAAUAACCGGCCGAAAGGCUGGCUAAUACUGGAUAGAGCGACGGAAUCCGUAAUUGGGUUUUUCGGGAAAGGGAGCCUGUAAAAAGGCCUUCGUUCUGGGAUGAGCCUGCGUCCCAUCAGCUAGUUGGUGAGGUAAAAGCUUAGCCAGGCAAUGACGGGUAGCUGGUCUGAGAGGACGAGCAGCCCCAAUGGAACUGAAACACGGUCCAGACUCCUACGGGAGGCAGCAGUGGGGAAUCUUUCGCAAUGGACGAAAGUCUGAAGCAGCAAAGCCGCGUGAGUGAAGAAGGCCUUCGGGUUGUAAAGCUCUGUCGAGUGGGACGAAAAUGCUUGGAGUUCACAGCUCCAGGAACUGACGGUACCACUAAAGGAAGCACCGGCUAACUCCGUG
rnacentral:rRNA from 1 species